rnacentral:rRNA from 1 species
AACGAACGCUGGCGGCAUGCCUAACACAUGCAAGUCGGGCGCCUGUAGCGAUACGGGAGCGGCGCACGGGUGAGUAACGCGUGGGAACCUGCCCUUAGGUUCGGGACAACCGCGGGAAACUGCGGCUGAUACCGGAUGAAGUCCCCGACAGAGAUAUUGGGGCCCAAAGAUUUAUCGCCUUUGGAGGGGCCCGCGUCGGAUUAGGUAGUUGGUGGGGUAACGGCUCACCAAGCCUGUGAUCCGUAGCUGGUCUGAGAGGAUGAUCAGCCACACUGGGACUGAGACACGGCCCAGACUCCUACGGGAGGCAGCAGUGGGGAGUAUUGGACAAUGGGGGCAACCCUGAUCCAGCAAUGCCGCGUGGGUGAUGAAGGCCUUCGGGUUGUAAAGCCCUUUCGGCGGGGACGAUGAUGACGGUACCCGCAGAAGAAGCCCCGGCUAACUUCGUGCCAGCAGCCGCGGUAAAAC